rfam:Bacillus sp. X1(2014), complete genome.
AUCUAUCUUCGGGGCAGGGUGAAAUUCCCGACCGGCGGUAUUAGAGCAAUGCUCUUAAGCCCGCGAGCCUUUUAUGGGCAGGAUUUGGUGAGAUUCCAAAGCCGACAGUAAAGUCUGGAUGGGAGAAGAUGGAG